GGCUGUAUAGUUCAGCGGAAGAACGCCUGUCUCAUAAGCAGGAAGUCCCAAGUUCAACUCUUGGUACAGCCA
rnacentral:tRNA from 1 species